GACGGAAGGUGCAAGCGUUGCUCGGAAUCACUGGGCGUAAAGGGUGCGUAGGCGGCCGAGCAAGUCUGGGGUGAAAGCCCCGGGCUCAGCCCGGGAAGGGCGCUCGAAACGGCGCGGCUCGAGUGCCGGAGGGGAGAGUGGAAUUCCUGGUGUAGCGGUGAAAUGCGCAGAUAUCAGGAGGAACACCGGUGGCGAAGGCGGGUCUCUGGGCCGAAACUGACGCUGAGGAGCGAAAGCGUGGGGAGCAAACAGG
rnacentral:rRNA from 1 species